UUCAUAAAUCUGAACCCUUUCAAUACAAACUAUUGAAAAUUGACUAGCUAAUCUUCUGUAAUGCUAUUAUGAGGAUUGCCCUUUGAGGUUUAUAGCAAUAGGUCACCCUAUGGUUGGUCACAUGCAUUUAUGGA
rnacentral:sRNA from 12 species